rnacentral:rRNA from 1 species
AUGAACGCUGGCGGCGUGCUUAACACAUGCAAGUCGAACGGGAAUUACUUUAUUGAAACUUCGGUGGAUUUAAUUUAAUUCUAGUGGCGGACGGGUGAGUAACGCGUGGGUAACCUGCCUUAUACAGGGGGAUAACAGUCAGAAAUGGCUGCUAAUACCGCAUAAGCGCACAGAGCUGCAUGGCUCAGUGUGAAAAACUCCGGUGGUAUAAGAUGGACCCGCGUUGGAUUAGCUUGUUGGUGGGGUAACGGCCCACCAAGGCGACGAUCCAUAGCCGGCCUGAGAGGGUGAACGGCCACAUUGGGACUGAGACACGGCCCAGACUCCUACGGGAGGCAGCAGUGGGGAAUAUUGCACAAUGGGGGAAACCCUGAUGCAGCGACGCCGCGUGAAGGAAGAAGUAUCUCGGUAUGUAAACUUCUAUCAGCAGGGAAGAUAGUGACGGUACCUGACUAAGAAGCCCCGGCUAACUACGUGCCAGCAGCCGCGGUAAUACGUAGGGGGCAAGCGUUAUCCGGAUUUACUGGGUGUAAAGGGAGCGUAGACGGUGUGGCAAGUCUGAUGUGAAAGGCAUGGGCUCAACCUGUGGACUGCAUUGGAAACUGUCAUACUUGAGUGCCGGAGGGGUAAGCGGAAUUCCUAGUGUAGCGGUGAAAUGCGUAGAUAUUAGGAGGAACACCAGUGGCGAAGGCGGCUUACUGGACGGUAACUGACGUUGAGGCUCGAAAGCGUGGGGAGCAA